UACGUAGGGAGCAAGCGUUGUCCGGAAUCAUUGGGCGUAAAGCGCGCGUAGGUGGCCUCGUAAGUCCGCUGUGAAAGUCAAAGGCUCAACCUUUGAAAGCCGGUGGAUACUGGAUGGCUUGAGUUUGGGAGAGGGAUGCAGAAUUCCAGGUGUAGCGGUGAAAUGCGUAGAUAUCUGGAGGAAUACCGGUGGCGAAGGCGGCAUCCUGGACCGACAUUGACGCUGAUGAGCGAAAGCUAGGGGAGCAAACGGG
rnacentral:rRNA from 1 species